rnacentral:lncRNA from 1 species
AGCAAAUUCUCAUUGCACACUUCUGCAAUGCAGGAACAUCCCCUCCAAAUUGAAACCACCAUUGGGCUGCAAGAUAUCACCAAUGAAAUUUUCAGAAUUGCAAACAAAAAGGAGAUGAAAAUUCUAAAACUAAAGGACCAUGUCUUACUUGGCUCCAUUCUCGCCGCAGCUUCUUCUGCUAAUCUGGUCCCAAACCUCCCUUGGCACUCCCUAAACUUACUUACUUCAUCAAUGGCUGAAAGAGCACUCUUUGGAUCUAAUAUCUUCGCUAUCGCAUCUGUUAGUGAGGUAGCAUAAUCUGUAUGGUUGCAAAGGUUGAGCUUGUAAUGUGUAUAUGGAUCAAGGAC